CUCUUUUUCUCUGUAAAGAGCCUCAUCUGCUUUCUGGAACCCUGGUCCUCCACUUGCGUUCUUGCCUCCUCACUUGGGAUGCCAGCGGUAACGGGACUGGCUCCCCGUUCUGAUUCUGAACAAGGUUAUAGGCCAGUAUGGACUUCUCUGCCCAGACUGGAAGUGAACGAGGAGCAGGGGACUGGGAAGAGCAUCUCCAAACACACUCAGAACUGCCGUUGGGUUAGACGUGGACUCUUGGAAGAGAGCAGCUACAGGUUUUCAGCGAGGGCUUGAUGGGAGAAAAAGGGAAAAAAGGCUGGACUUCGCUGCGGCUCAUAGUCCCCAGGCAGGAUUCUUGAAGCACACAGGUUGUAACACUCCUACAGCUACCUCGAGGACUUCCUUUAAUGUUUCACCACCAGAGCUUCGCUCUGCUUCCACAAGAGGCUAUGCCAUGCUUCAAAACACUGCAACAGAAAGAAGAGGGAAAAAAAAAAAAAGAUUUCUAGACAAUCCAGUCUGUAUGAAAUACCUAGGGCAAUUCCUGGCACCAGAGAGGUGUUGAGUGUAAGUUAAAUGGAUUUUUUUAUGUGAUUAUUGAAAAUGUCUUCUACGCCUUCUUCACAAAUACUCACUAUCCCCAAACAAACUACGUUUGUCAACACCAAGGUCGAAACAGUACCACAAAAGAGAAGAUUUCUCUGGGGGGGGGGGUGGGGGCGCGAGGG